UACGUAGGGGGCAAGCGUUGUCCGGAAUCAUUGGGCGUAAAGAGCGCGUAGGCGGCCAGAUAAGUCCGGUGUGAAAGUCCCAGGCUCAACCUGGGAAUGCCGUCGGAAACUGUCUGGCUAGAGUCCGGAAGGGGCCAGUGGAAUUCCCGGUGUAGCGGUGAAAUGCGCAGAUAUCGGGAGGAACACCAAUGGCGAAGGCAGCUGGCUGGGACGGUUCUGACGCUGAGGCGCGAAAGCGUGGGGAGCGAACAGG
rnacentral:rRNA from 1 species